rnacentral:rRNA from 1 species
GUUCAUGGCUCAGGACGAACGCUGGCGGCGUGCUUAACACAUGCAAGUCGAACGAGAAUCUACUGAAAGAGUUUUCGGGCAAUGGAUGUAGAGGAAAGUGGCGGACGGGUGAGUAACGCGUGAGGAACCUGCCUUGAAGAGGGGGACAACAGUUGGAAACGACUGCUAAUACCGCAUGACGCAUAGGGGUCGCAUGAUCUUUAUGCCAAAGAUUUAUCGCUUCAAGAUGGCCUCGCGU